rnacentral:lncRNA from 10 species
GCCGGGCACGGUGGCUCACGCCUGUAAUCCCAGCACUUUGGGAGGCCGAGUUGGGCCUGAGGUCGGGAGUUCAAGACUAGCCUGGCCAACAUGGAGAAACCCCGUCUCUACUAAAAAGUACAAAAAUUAGCCAGGCAUGGUGACGGGAGCCUGUAAUCCCAGCUACUCAGGAGGCUGAGGCAGGGAGAAUGGUUUGAACCCAGGAGGCGGAGGUUGCAGUGAGCCAAGAUCACACCACUGCACUCUAGCAUGGGCAACAGAGGAAGACUCUGCCUCAAAAAAAAAGAAACAACAAAAAAAAACGGGGUUAAUGAUAGUUUCUACUCAGAAGGUCCUGGGGGAUUAAAUAAUACAGAGAAGUGUUUGGCAGAACACCACCUGGCACUGUCAUGCCACUGUGAGUCUCUCUGGAGUACUCUAAGUCUUUCUCCCCUUUGCCAGGGUCAGCACCUAUCAGCAACUGGCAAUCUUCAGGGCAAGGGUAGCAGGGAAGCAGGGAGAAGCCUGGGUCCCCACAAAGGAGACUGAUCUCUCAAAGUCACCAACCUUUGGUUUUUUGUUUUUUUUUUUAAACAAAGUCUCGCUCUUGUCACCCAGGCUGGAGUGCAGUGGCGUGUUGGCUCACUGCAACCUCCACCUCCCGGGUUCAAGUGAUUCCCCUGCCUCAGCCUCCUGAGUAGCUGGGAUUACAGGCGCCUGCCACCACGCCCAGCUAAUUUUUGUAUUUUUAGUAGAGACGGGGUUUCACCAUGUUGGCCAGGCUGGUCUCGAACUCCUGACCUCAGGCGAUCUGCCUGCCUUGGCCUCCCAAAGUGCUGGGAUUACAGGCGUGAGCCACCAGGCCCGGCCUGUUUUUUUUGUUGUUGUUGUUGUUUUUGUUUUUGUUUUUGUUUUUUUUUCAGAUUAAAAAUCUUCACAGCCACUCCAACUCCCCAGUGCUUUGGUCCUGCCCUUGGGAUUGGAAUUUGAGACAUUCCUUUUCAUUGCCUUCCCCCUUUCUUGUUACUCUUGCAUGCGUAGUGCCUGGGCUGGACACAGUUGGGAAGCAUCCGUGAGUUCCCAGGGUGGCCGGGAGGGGGAGCUGCGGGGUUCACAGCGGCUCCUCUCAACGUUCCUGGCUCCGCUCCCGACUUCUCAGCCCUGCCUGGAGGGGCUCAGCCACUGCUUUUAGCUGUCUGCUGGCUUUCCACCCUUCCAGCCUGAACCCUGACUUCCCCAUGAGGCCUUCCUGUGGCGGGGACACUCCAGGUCGCUGCACCCCUUCUCUCCUGAAUUUCUGUAACGACAUCUAACUUUUAUUUAAUUAAUUUAUUUAUUUAGAGAUGGAGUUUCUCUCUUGUUGCCCCGGCUGGAGUGCAAUGGCACCAUCUUGGCUCACUGCAACCUCCGCCUCCCAGGUUCAAGUGAUUCUCCUGCCUCAGUCUCCUGAGUAGCUGGGAUUGCAGGCACCCAUCACCACACCCGGCUAAUUUUGUAUUUUUAGUAGAGAUGGGCUUUCUCCAUGUUGGUCAGGCUGGUCUGGAACUCCCUACCUCAGGUGAUCCGGCCGCCUCGGCCUCCUAAAGUUCUGGGAUUACAGGCGUGAGCCACCACGCCCUGCCAUAACAUCUAACUUUUGUUCAGUUCUUCCACAUAUUCACUAGCUCAAUUUAUCCUCCCACAGUGAGGUCGGUACCUGAGGCUCCCCCCUUCAUCGGUGAGGGAGCUGAGGCUGGAGAAGCUGGGCACCUCACCAUGGUGAUGGGGUUGGAACUGUACUCCAGGCCUUCGGGCUACAGCUUUCACUCCAGUUCUUUACAUUAAUAACUGACUUCCUUACAACACCCCCUGUCUCGCACUCUGGGCCCUUUGCAUGUGUAGCCUUUUUUUGAUAGCUAUCUUUGCAAAGCUCCUUGAGGGCAGGCACUGAGUCACACUUCUCUGUGUCCCCAGUGCCUACCAGGUGUCACCUGCAUAGCUGUCCCCCAGAUUUUAGUGAAACUCCCUGCCUCCACUCGCUGUUCCUCCCUUGUCUCCACCUCGUCCUUCCAGCUACACUCAGAAAAGAGUUUGGUUUUCAGAUGGCCAGAGCGGGGAAGGACAGAGUCCCGGUUAGAAACAGGAACCUGAGAGAGGGAGGGGUCACCUGGGCAGGGCAGGCUGGGUGGGCUCCCUGAGGAGGCACCGUCUUACUUCUUGAAGCUCGCUGGCGGCUGGAUGUUGCCCUGGGCAUCGAGUGGGGGUGCUCUUGCCUCACUCCUCAACUUGAGCUUCUCCACCUCCU